rnacentral:rRNA from 1 species
AUGGUGUCCUGGAGCGAUGGGUCCGAUAGCAGCGAGCACACCAUGGAGUACGUCAGCUCAGCUUCCGAUGACGACACCAUUAAGAUCCCUGCUACCACUGAAGACUCUAAUUUCCAGGGACCUGAAACGGAGUUGCAUGUUUUCUGCCAUGAACAUGGGAAGGCCGCAGAAAAGUGUGUUGCUUUCCAAGGAAUCCACACUGGCACGAGGUUUCUUUGUUGUGCUGAGAAGGAAGGUAAAAACUGUGGACUAGUUGAAUGGAUUGAUCCAGCUUGGCCCAACACCCUUGAGAAUGCAUUAUCCGAGUUAUGGUUUAUGUAUGAACAAAGUAAGAGAGACAGGACUGAGGACAAUCUGAUGCAUUCAUUUGCUGUUCCUGACUUGACACAAGAGAAGAAGAAGAUGUAG